rnacentral:rRNA from 1 species
UAGGGAAUCUUCCACAAUGGACGAAAGUCUGAUGGAGCAAUGCCGCGUGAGUGAAGAAGGUUUUUGGAUCGUAAAGCUCUGUUGUAAGGGAAGAACAAGUAUGGGAGUAACUGCCCGUACCUUGACGGUACCUUAUUAGAAAGCCACGGCUAACUACGUGCCAGCAGCCGCGGUAAUACGUAGGUGGCAAGCGUUGUCCGGAAUUAUUGGGCGUAAAGCGCGCGCAGGCGGCCUUUUAAGUCUGAUGUGAAAGCCCCCGGCUCAACCGGGGAAGGUCAUUGGAAACUGAAGGGCUUGAGUACAGAAGAGGAAAGCGGAAUUCCACGUGUAGCGGUGAAAUGCGUAGAGAUGUGGAGGAACACCAGUGGCGAAGGCGGCUUUCUGGUCUGUAACUGACGCUGAGGCGCGAAAGCGUGGGGAGCAAACAGGAUUAGAUACCCUGGUAGUCCACGCCGUAAACGAUGAGUGCUAAGUGGUUAGGGGGUUUCCGCCCCUUAGUGCUGGAGCAAACGCAUUAA